CCUCUCUGUGUGAGGAACAUGAAGCUCUGAGGAUGAAGAGACAGAGACCAGACUCUCCUGGACCCAGCUGUGUGUCCAUGAAGCGUGAUGACUCUAAAGAUUUCCCUAUUGACUUUAAAGAUGGACGUCCUGCUGAUGGAAGGAUGAAGAGACAGAGACCAGACUCUCCUGGACCCAGCUGUGUGUCCAUGAAGAGUGAUUGGUGUAUAAUGUGUAUCUUGGUUCAGAGCUUCAUAAUAUAUGACACAUUGUUUUCUUGUGUCACAGAGUUCAACAGGAGAGCUCAGAGGUUCACAGAGAUCAAUCAGACCAGCAGAAUCCAA